GCCAUAUGCCAGUUUGUGAAUACAAUUGUGGGGAAAAAACAAGACAACGUAAGUUAAUUAAAACCCUCUCCAUUUAUUUGAAUGGCUUUUAAGAAGCAGAAGCACAUGUGGUAAAAUUAAGGUAUAGGACAUGCAUGAGAAGUGACAGGGACCCACACUGGCAAGCACUCAGCACCCUUUAUCAUGUGACCAGGUAAAUGUUACAAAGAGCCAGACAGGUCUGGAUCGAUGGGGUGUGCUACUAGUAGGCCAAAGAGGGCAAAGCUGGGAGAAGUACAAGCAGUCUUAUUCCCAGACAAGGGAAGUCACAAAGACGAAGAAACACAUGCUCUAACCAUUUACGGAGGCACUUAGGUUUAUCAUAACAAGCAACCCAGAGAGGUUGGGUGAUGAGGAAGACUGAGGCAGCAAAUGCUAUCAAAGCAAAGGGCUUCUGACAGGUAGAUACAAGCACAUUAUGCACACAGGUUUCAUUUUUCAUCGUAUUCUAUAUCGGAGGUUAUUGAGAUGCUCUUAAGUAGAAACCAGAAGUUAAGUAUAUGUGCGCUAUUACAUUAAUAAAGAAGUUCGUAGGCCGAGUGUGGUGGCUCACGCCUGUAAUCCCAUCAAAGUUUCUUUACAAAAACAGGUGAUGGGUCAGAUUUGGCCCGUGGGCCCAGAGUUUGCCAAACUCUGCAUUAGCCCAAAA
rnacentral:lncRNA from 1 species